AACGGCCAUAUCACGUUGAAUCAUCGGUUCCUAUACGAUCACAGAAGUUAAACAACGUCGAGCCUGGUCAAUACCUAGAUGGGUAACCGUUUGUGAAUACUAGGUGUUGUAA